GAAAAAACAAAAAACAAAAAGUAGACCUUAAGUCCUUUGGUAGUUAAAAUUAAAUUUUGCUUAAAAUUAGAAGAGAUGGAUUUUGAAGGUUAAGCCAUACCGUCAAAAGUGAAAGCCCUUUUAGAAAAUAGAGAUAAAACAUGAAAUUUUGAUUUUUUGCUAAACAUGAUUCAAUUAUUAUAAACAAGACAUUGAAUCAACUUGGAUCAAGAGUCAAAUUAUGCCUAAAAAGUUUAAUCCAUUAGCAGGUAUUCUCACUUAACAAAUCAAAGUCUCAUCAUUGGCAAUGAUUAACCAUAAUUUUAAUCCCUAUUAAUUCAAUUACCUAGCAAACAUACAUGCACAUUUUUAUUAUCCAUAGAUUUUGUUAAACCUAAUGUAUUUAUUGUAAACAAGAAAUUGAAUUAAUAUGGACCACAACUUCCAUUUAUUUUAAUUUGUACCUCAUUUAAAGGAAACAUGUUAAUUAAUGACUAAAG
rnacentral:misc_RNA from 1 species